AUUAGCCCAAACCAAUAAAGUUUUCUUUGUUGGGGUUGCGGACAUAUCAUAACGAAGAGGUAUCGUAAUUGAAGAGGUUUGGAAAGACCCACCACAGAAGGUAAUAGUCCUGUAUGUUAAACGAGAAGACUUUAGAUAUGAUCCAGAGUACCACGGGACACGUGAAACCCUGUGGGAAGCAGGAGGGACCACCCUCCAAGGCUAAAUACUACCUAGUGACCGAUAGCGUAUAGUACCGUGAGGGAAAGGUGAAAAGAACCCCGGGAGGGGAGUGAAAUAGAACCUGAAACCCUGCACUUACAAGCUGUGGAAGCACAUUUCUUGUGUGACCGCGUACUUUUUGUAGAACGGGCCAACGAGUUACGUUAAGUAGCAAGGUUAAGCACUUAAGGUGCGGAGCCGUAGCGAAAGCGAGUUUUAACUGAGCGUUCAGUUACUUGACGUAGACCCGAAACCGGGCGACCUACCCAUGAGCAGGAUGAAGCGAAAGUAAAAUUUCGUGGAGGUCCGAACCCACGAGCGUUGAAAAGCUCGGGGAUGACUUGUGGGUAGCGGUGAAAUUCCAAUCGAGCCCGGAGAUAGCUGGUUCUCCCCGAAAUAGCUUUAGGGCUAGCCUCAAGGUGAGAGAUACGGAGGUAGAGCACUGAAUGUCCUAGGGGGUAUUGCACCUACCGAAGACUAUCAAACUCCGAAUGCCGUCAUCUUAUACUUGGGAGUCAGACUGUGGGUGAUAAGAUUCAUAGUCGAAAGGGCAACAGCCCAGAUCGUCAGCUAAGGUCCCUAAAUGUAAGUUAAGUGGUAAAGGAUGUGGGAUUGCACAGACAACCAGGAUGUUGGCUUAGAAGCAGCCACUCAUUCAAAGAGUGCGUAAUAGCUCACUGGUCGAGUGAUCCUGCGCCGAAGAUUUCCGGGGCUAAAACUUACUACCGAAGCUACGGCAUCAGUAAUGAUGGGUAGGGGAGCUUCCCAUACGGGUUGAAGCAUGACCGUAAGGACAUGUGGACAGUAUGGGAGUGAGAAUGUUGGCAUGAGUAGCGAGAUGUGGGUGAGAAUCCCACAGGCCGUAAACCCAAGG
rnacentral:rRNA from 1 species